rnacentral:rRNA from 1 species
AGCCUGAACGCUGGCGGCGUGGCUAAGACAUGCAAGUCGUACGGUGUAGCAAUACACAGUGGCGAACGGGAGAGUAAUGAAUCGCUAAUGUGCCCCGGACUCUGGGAUAGCUAGUUGAAAGAUUAGGUAAUACCAGAUGACAUAUCUUUAUCGCAUGAUAGAGAUCUCAAAGGUCCGCCGGUCUGGGAGCAGGCGAUUUCGUAUCAGCUAGUUGGUGAGGUAACGGCUCACCAAGGCGACGACGCGUAGCCGGACUGAGAGGUUGGCCGGCCUCAUUGGGACUGAGACACUGCCCAGACUCCUACGGGGGGCUGCAGUAACGAAUCUUCCGCAAUGCACGAAAGUGUGACGGAGCGACGCCGCGUGUGGGACGAAGUCCUUCGGGAUGUAAACCACUGUCAGGGGUUACCAAGUUCUGAGGAGCCCCGAGAGGAAGGGACGGCUAACGUCUGUGCCAGCAGCCGCGGU